GUGCGGAAAUUGCUGCUCUCCUUCACGUGGAACUUGUCUCCGUUCUGCUCGAUGGUGAUUUUCAAGUUGUCGUGGGAGGCCAGUUUCCUCUUCACCAAGUUGAUACCUGUCAACACACACACCACAUGUUCCAGGUGAGCUGGAGCUUAUCCCGUCCGACCUUGUGCUUGUGACCUUUGGCUCAAGACGGAGCAGACUCAUCAUCAGUAGAAUUAUCACCGUUUGCAGUUUUGAUGCCCUCUCACAUGUCAGUCAUGCAGGAUAAUCGUUUGGAGACAUUCGACAAUCGGACCUUUGCUGACUUUCACCACAAGGGAGGGAAAAUGCUCCAAUUUGCCCCAAUCGUCGUUAUGUGAUUCUUUGUGCUUUGGAAGCACCGGCUCAGUAAACAGUUGGUCAUUUUUACACUUGUCGCCCGUAGUUAAUCAAGGGAAUUUCACGACACACAUGAGCGGGCCCUUUCUCACCUGCAGUACCGAGGCAUCCUCUGGCCAAUCACCCCCGUCACCACCUCCCCCGUGUGGAUCCCGAUGGUAAUCUGCAAAAAAAAACAACGUUUCCAUAACAGCUCCAGAAGAGGCACUUUGUAAGUAAUCAACCGACUAUUUCCGUGUCAAGCGGUGGGCACUGUGGUGGUCUUCAGAGCGUGACGGCGCUCUUGUGUGCGAGAUGAAUGAAUGAGAAUCUAUUUUUAGCUCAGUAGUGUGAGAUGAUUUGAGUGUUUUUGCUCUGAAAUUCCACUCCUCGGCGGCACGGUGGACGACUGGUUAGAGCGUCAGCCUCACAGUUCUGAGGAGCUGGGUUCAAUCCCCGGCCCCGGCUGUGUGGAGUUUGCAUGUUCUCCCCGUGCCUGCGUGGGUUUUCUCUGGGCACUCCGGUUUCCUCCCACAUCCCAAAAACAUGCAUGAAUUGGAGACUCUAAAUUGCCCGUAGGCAUGACUGUGAGUGCGAAUGGUUGU